AUUGAACGCUGGCGGCAGGCUUAACACAUGCAAGUCGAACGAUUGGCGGACGGGUGAGUAAUGCUUGGGAAUCUAGCUUAUGGAGGGGGAUAACUACGGGAAACUGUAGCUAAUACCGCGUACCACAGGAUGAGCCCAAGUGGGAUUAGGUAGUUGGUGAGGUACAGGCUCACCAAGCCGACGAUCCAUAGCUGGUCUGAGAGGAUGACCAGCCACACUGGGACUGAGACACGGCCCAGACUCCUACGGGAGGCAGCAGUGGGGAAUCUUGGGCAAUGGGGGAAACCCUGACGCAGCCAUGCCGCGUGUAUGAAGAAGGCAUUAGGGUUGUAAAGUACUUUCAUCGGGGAGGCGUUACCCGAAGAAGAAGCACCGGCUAACUCCGUGCCAGCAGCCGCGGUAAUUC
rnacentral:rRNA from 1 species